rnacentral:rRNA from 1 species
UGGGGAAUUUUGGACAAUGGGCGCAAGCCUGAUCCAGCCAUGCCGCGUGCGGGAAGAAGGCCUUCGGGUUGUAAACCGCUUUUGGCAGGAACGAAACGGCGCGAGUUAAUACCCCGCGCUAAUGACGGUACCUGCAGAAUAAGCACCGGCUAACUACGUGCCAGCAGCCGCGGUAAUACGUAGGGUGCAAGCGUUAAUCGGAAUUACUGGGCGUAAAGCGUACGCAGGCGGCUAUGUAAGACAGGUGUGAAAUCCCCGGGCCUAACCUGGGAACUGCAUUUGUGACUGCAUAGCUAGAGUCUGUCAGAGGGGGGUGGAAUUCCACGUGUAGCAGUGAAAUGCGUAGAGAUGUGGAGGAACACCGAUGGCGAAGGCAGCCCCCUGGGAUGAGACUGACGCUCAUGUACGAAAGCGUGGGGAGCAAACAGGAUUAGAUACCCCCGUAGUCC